UUUUCCUAUGUUUCUGAAUAAAUGUGACUCCGCAAUUAUUUUAAAAGUCAGCACUUUCCUCUAAUUUUUAAAAUAUGGGUGCGAUGAGUCACAUUUAUUGAGAAACAUAGGAA
rnacentral:pre_miRNA from 1 species